UACAGAGGGGGCAAGCGUUGUUCGGAAUUACUGGGCGUAAAGGGCGCGUAGGCGGCCCGCUAAGUCGAACGUGAAAUCCCCGAGCUCAACUCGGGAACUGCGUCCGAUACUGGUUGGCUUGAAUCCGGGAGAGGGAUGUGGAAUUCCAGGUGUAGCGGUGAAAUGCGUAGAUAUCUGGAGGAACACCGGUGGCGAAGGCGGAUCUCUGGGCCAUUACUGACGCUGAGGAGCGAAAGCGUGGGGAGCGAACAGG
rnacentral:rRNA from 1 species